rnacentral:lncRNA from 1 species
AGGAUUGAACGAGAUGGUGCUAGAAGGGCUCGCUUAGCACCGCGCCCUGUGUUCAGACACUGCAGGAUCCAUCAUCAUCAUCCCUGUUGACUCAGGCUAGGCGAACCUCGGCGUCACCAUCCGCAAAAGAGGAACAGUAUCCGCCCUGUACCUUGCUUCAUGGGAUUGUGGUGGAUUUGAAUGAAAUGUAUGCAGAGCUUGCACUGUGUCUGGCACGCUGAGAAUAGCCAAGGACUGUUGUCCUUUAUAUUGUUCUUGAGCCUGUACUGUGCCGGCGUAGGCAGACACCAGGACAUCCUGCUGCCUCUAAUAAUACCGUCACCCCCACGUCCUAGAGCUUUAUGCCUAGAUGGGGUGCAGACUGCACCAAGUCUCCCGUUUUCUCGUUUUCUAGAGAGAACUCGUGCAGUGGGGAUUGCUACUUUCAGAAGGAAACUGGAGAAGGUCGUGAACAUUCACCCCAGUCCUUUUUAUCCAGCGAGAUUCACGCCUGGAAAACUGCUGUCUGGUCAGAAAGACUUUGCUGAGAAGAGCCAAGAGCUGAAACCCAGCCGAGGUGUUUCAGGAAAGAGGCCAGAAAGUAGACAGUCUACAGGAAUAUUUACUGUGCUUUCAUGAGAAAAAUUUCCAAGCUACCCCUUGAAGCAAUGAAGUUGGAUUUGGAGCAAAUGGAAACAUUGUGAAAUUGCUUAUUUUCUUCCAAAAUUUGUAUUUUUCUUCCUUAUUUCCUGUUAAAUCAGUGUCACUCAUUAGCAAC